rnacentral:rRNA from 1 species
GACGAACGCUGGCGGCGUGCUUAACACAUGCAAGUCGAACGCUGAAGACCUGGCUUUUGUUGGGUUGGAUGAGUGGCGAACGGGUGAGUAACACGUGAGUAACCUGCCCUCUUCUUUGGGAUAACGCCCGGAAACGGGUGCUAAUACUGGAUAUUCACUGAUCUUCGCAUGGGGGUUGGUGGAAAGGUUUGUUCUGGUGGGGGAUGGGCUCGCGGCCUAUCAGCUUGUUGGUGGGGUGAUGGCCUACCAAGGCUUUGACGGGUAGCCGGCCUGAGAGGGUGACCGGUCACAUUGGGACUGAGAUACGGCCCAGACUCCUACGGGAGGCAGCAGUGGGGAAUAUUGCACAAUGGGCGAAAGCCUGAUGCAGCGACGCCGCGUGAGGGAUGGAGGCCUUCGGGUUGUAAACCUCUUUCGCGCAUGGUCAAGCCGCAACUGUGGGUUGUGGUGAGGGUAGUGGGUAAAGAAGCGCCGGCUAACUACGUG